GACGAAGCCGAGGCAGCAGCGACUAGUUGUUGCUGCUGCUGCUGCUGUUGCUCUUGAUGCAAUAUCGAUGCCAUUUCAAAAGCAGCACUGACUGGGUAAUCAGACCGGGUGAUGAGCCUUGCUCCAAUUAUUUGUAUCGUUUUUCUGUUUAUCCCAACAUGACCGUGAAGCAAUGACUAAAGACUAUGACUCAUUUUUGUUCCUCAUGUACAACAUGUAUGACCUGCAUUCAUAGGCCUGUGUUGUUGUGUGGUUCAGAUUUUAGUGCCAGCAUGGCGCUUGUGUCUCGUAU